CGUAGGGUGCGAGCGUUAAUCGGAAUUACUGGGCGUAAAGCGUGCGCAGGCGGUUGUGCAAGACAGAUGUGAAAUCCCCGGGCUCAACCUGGGAACUGCAUUUGUGACUGCACGGCUGGAGUGCGGCAGAGGGGGAUGGAAUUCCGCGUGUAGCAGUGAAAUGCGUAGAUAUGCGGAGGAACACCGAUGGCGAAGGCAAUCCCCUGGGCCUGCACUGACGCUCAUGCACGAAAGCGUGGGGAGCAAACAGGAUUAGAUACCCUGGUAGUCCACGCCCUAAACGAUGUCGACUAGUUGUUGGACGCCUUGCUGUUCAGUAACGUAGCUAACGCGUGAAGUCGACCGCCUGGGGAGUACGGCCGCAAGGUUG
rnacentral:rRNA from 1 species